GAAACUAUGCCCAUAGUAGUUCCUUAAGUGGAACUUCACAUAGGUCUUUUGAGAGCUAAGAUAUGUCAAUUGAACACACAAUAGAAGGAUUUGUAACUCAAGGAUGGUAGAGGUAGUCUUGAAAGGGUGAUAACUUUCACCUUGUUAGACUACAGACAUCAGCUCAUGGGGAGAUUGAACACAAUGGAUAGCAAGUCAUGGAUCCAAACACUUGGUGUCUCAUUGUUAUUGCAUAGGAUACUGGAGUUCAGUUGAUUUUUUAUAAUGGGAUGUUGAAUCAACUUUAGAAUUAGAUUAUGAGAGAGCCAGUAUUCCUAUGGGUCUCAAUGGUCC
rnacentral:lncRNA from 1 species